GAGGGUUGGCAGUGAAGGUGAGGGUAUCUUGCUGGAGAUCCCUCUCUACUUGAGGCCUUCUAAAGGUAAGCAGCUUCUUUCCUAUAUUUCUGUGCCUAUGGCUGUUGCAUUUGAGGAAGUCCCUACUUGCUGUAGCCUAGAACUUUGCUGUUUCGCAGUCAUUGCUGUGCUUUCCAUUGUGUUACAUCCUCUAAAAAAAAGAAAUAUACAGUGCUGUACUUGUUAAAAUCAGCACUGAUCAACAGGAUGCGUGUGCUCGGUCUCUUGAGGCUGUUGCUGAUGGUAUGUGACUCUGAGGAGCGUCUCUUACAAAACUGUGUCCGUUCAGUGUUCACUGAGUUUGGACUGUAAUGUCUAGCCAGCAAACAAGGGGAUUUAGAGGUUUUUGGAUGUAGGUACCAAAUUCAAUUCACAGUUCUGCUCUACUGUUCUUGGAGAAGUAAAUUAAUCUGAGACGGGUAGUUAUACAUUGACUGAAGGAAAAGGUUAUUAGUAGUAAAUAGAUUAGUUUUCAUUGUAUGAUUCAUGUUAGAUCAGCAUAAGUGUGUGUGUUCUUUGAAAGAAAAGAAGUAUAGCGAUCGCUAAUUUUCUACAAGUAGUAUCUAAGCCAUAGGAAUGCUGAAGAGUUUAUUGCUUGUUUUCAGUGUCAGGUAUGAAAUAAGUACUUACCAACUUCUGUAUUGUUUUUCAUAUUGGGGUUUUCCUACUUCCUGUAAGCAAGGGUACUACUGUAUUUUAAAAGGAACCACCCUUGUGUACCAACUAGACAAUAUAUUGUGUUACGUGAGUAUUAGUAGAAAUUCUGAAAGCUUAACGAAUUAAUAAUUGAGCAUAGGAGGAAGCUUUUUUCAUUUUGUGGACAUCAGUUAUUUAAUAUUGCUGUAAUAAGUGUAGCUGCAUGCGGAGUGAGAGAGAGAUCCAGUGUAAUAAUGUGUUCUCUUUUUGAUCAGUUGGCAGCAGACAAUUCUUUCAAGACAGUGCUGUCCUUGUGAAUCCAGAAAUCCUGUGUGGUUGUUGGCUUCCAGUCUUUGUGUGCACGCAUACCUGUGCAUUUAAGAGAUUCUUGUCAUAAAGUUGGAUUUCUGCUCCAUGGUACAGGUGCCAGAAAACUUCCUUACGCAAGCAAUAUACAUAAUAUUAGACUUGAAUUAACAAUUACUUUAGUGAAUUUCACCGAUAUUUACACCAUGAUAAUGCACAUUACUUGGUUGCAAAGGUUAGGAUAGAGCUAGGUAAGUUAUUUUAACAUUGAAGGCUUUUCACAAAAAAAAAAAUGUGUUUUCAGAGGCUUGUCUUGGUAUGCUGGUAGAAGGGUGGGAAAAUCUGUUAACACUGUGUAGUAAAAUGGGCAAGAAUUACUCAAACACACCGUUUUAUGACUUGUUUUAUGCUUAAAGAACUUUUCUGAAUUUGUCCCUUAAUUUCGUAUUUCAGUAGAUGAUGUGUAUUUCUGGAAAAUAUUAUCUUGCUAUUAUAACAAAGCAAGAAAUUUAUUCUUUACAACCACACAACUCUUUUUUUUUAAGUUGUUGAGCUAAUAUGCAUUUAGGUAAUGAUUUUUAAGAAUUUAGGGAUAUGGCCUAAUUUGUUAUUGGUUGUGAUGGCACUUAUGUCUCUAGUCUUUGCUUCUGAUUAAGAGUAAUUAUGUGGAUUAAUUGUUCUCAUUUUUGGUGCUUUUCUUACUCAGAUUUCUCCUGUUUUUGUUCUUGACUGUGAUGAAAACAAAUGUGCAUAAAAGAGGAGAAUUAAAUUGGAAUUGGGUAGUGUUUGUGUUAUUGUUGUGAGAAAUUUAUAUGGAGAAAUAAAUUUUCACCACCUUCAGGAUUCUUUUCUGAUUUGAGUCUCUUCCUUGCUAUUAAGUAGAAAUUUGGGCCAAUAUAGGCAUUUCAUUUUCUUUGCAUUGGAUGUUGUAAGUCUAACAACAUUUGGUAAAUACAAACAGUUGCUCUGUAAGAGAGUUCUCUUACUUUUUAUUUUGCCUUUUUCGAAGAACUGCUCUCUGUCCUUCAUUACCCGUUGACUGCUGUCUCUUUUGCCCAGGAGGUGGAGGAAAAUAGGUGAAUGGCAGUAAGGAACUUUUUAUGUGGAGGGUGGGGGAAAAAGGAAGCGUAACUGCAAUUUGAUGAAACGAAGGGAAAAUCUGGUGUGUAUUUGAAGGCAUGGUGGUUGUAAUCAACAAGAUAUAGUACAGCCCUAUGCUGUCUCCUGUUUCUACCAGUGGUAGACUAAAUUCCUUCAACUCCAGAUCACUGUAGUCCUCUUGUGAAUUACUUUUUCUCAUGCUAUUUUCUUUACUCAUUUUGUUUAAAUAGUUUCUAAUGUGUUUUGUUUUCUUUUGGACUACUGGGAGGGUUGUGAAGAAGAUGAAGCCAAACUCUUGUCAGAGAUGUAUACUGAAAGGACAAGAGGUAGUUGUCGUAGGCUGCAGCAAGGGUUCUUCCAACUGUAUGUAAGGAAAGACUUCACAGUGAGAAAGAUUGAGUGGGAGAGGUACCCAGACAGGCUAUGGAACCUUCAUCCUGGGUGCUAUUCAAAGUGCAACUGGACAGAGUCCCAAUCAACCUGAUCUAACUUUAAAGUUGCCCUGCUUUGAGCAGUGGGUUGGACUAGAUGACUUCUAGAUGCCCCUUCCAACCUAAAUUAGGCUGUGAUUCUGCAGUUCUAUUGGUGUGUUCAUCAGUAGUAAAAUGGCCAGAAUUACAGCAGUUGUUUGGAGUUAGUGAUUUUUAGGUAUUUUAGAAAUGAACUUACACCGUGUAUUUUAGAUUAGGUAUAUUUCAGUUGCAGGGUUGUUUUGCUUUGGAAAGCUACUUCUGUGUCUCUUGUAGCAACUGUAUUAGAUAGUCUUCAGUGGUAGUAGAGUGCUGUAAGGGCCAUUAUUUUGAUCUGUAAUAUGUGGAAUGCCAUUCCUCAGUUCCCAUUUAUUAAAAGGAUGGAGCAUGUGACGGAAGGUCACUGAUUGUGCCAGUGUUGCUGGGAUGCUUUGCUGAAAAUAGUUUCAAGAGUGAAUGUCAAACUGUUGACCGUUAGAAGUUAAAGAUUUUCAUUGGAAAAAGUCAUUGCUUUAUUGUUGAUGUGAAGGGGACCAGUGAAUGAACUAAUUUUAAAAAUACCAAGUUCGUGGCUUAUGUAUUUCCUCAUGAUCGCUGUUACGAAACAAGAGUGAAGGCCUGCAGAAAUAACUUAUCUGUGGACAAGAAGCUUGACUGAAAGGAAGAACCUGCAUUAACUCUGAAGCUAUUGUCUCUUUUGCUCUCUUUUGUUGGAAGGUAUCUUCUCUGUUUAACUCAGUACACAAGAUUCUCCACACCUAACUGCAGCUGUUAAGACCUUGAUUAGUCUUGCUUACCACCCCUGAGUAAGAAGGGCUUCUGGAUUCCAGUAUUCAACAAGCCUGCUGAGUGAUCGUUUUACAAAUAGCUAGCUUGGACUUGGCACAAAAAAUCUAUCAGAUGCUUCUGUUUAUUUAUUGCUUGUUGACUAUAUUUUGUCUUCUGUGGCUUGUGCCUUUUUUGAGGUCUUGCAUUUUAUGUAAAUCAACUUUACAUUAAUUGGAGAUGGUUUUUCAGUUGAAAAAGGCAACCCCAAAACCCUUAGCUAGUGGAAAUGUGAAGAACGAGUAUCACAGAAGUGCAAAAGGGCUGUGCGUUGUACUCAGGCUAACGAGCCAGCCUGUCAAAUCAGACAUGUUAAACAAUAAUUAUACUGUCUUUAAGGUCAUAGCUGAUGAAGUGCUGUAGCUCAGUUCCGGGCUUUUACUGUGAACUGAAGCUGGCAGUCAUGUGGAGUUUGGUGAUUUUGUUUUGUUUCAUAUUGUCUGUCGUCUUGAUCAUGCUUGCAUCAUGAUGAGUGAGUUGCUCUGUGGAAGAGCCAAAAGAUCUGCUGGCUGUCAUUUCCUUUCUUUACAAUUUGUUCUCCUUUUUUUUUUAAUCUUCAUUUGCCCACUGAGUGUGUUAAAUGGAAACAGUGAAAAUUCUUCAUAUUAUAUGGCCAUAAGAGUUUGUUCUUUUUUGAAGCCAUUUAAAAGCUCAUGUUCAUGUGAACUUCUGCUAUGCUGAAAAUGUAUAGUAAUUACUUCUUUUAAAAGAACACAAAUUGGAGAUGCAAAAUGAGUCAUGCUAUAUAGGAUAGCUUAUAGUCUAUCCUAAACUCAGAGAAGUCAUUAAUAUUCUUGCUCAUUGGAUGGAAUAUCGCUGAACUGUAGAAUAGAUCCUCUUCAAGUGCUAAAGUCUCUGAUGUUUUCUCCUUCACUGUUGGUAUCUAAGUUGCACUGAUGGGUAGUAGUACCUGAAUGCAUAUAUAACUCCAGUUCAUUUCUUCUUCUAUACUUGAAAGCAUAGUGUGUGUGGGAUGCUGCUCUCAGUGGUAGUUUGCUGGCAUCACGUAUACACACGCACCCCAGCAUCUUAAAAUGUCUUUAUAUAUAAUGUGUGUAUGUUAUUUUUAAUACAUAAAAAUUUGGGUGGUGAUGAUCUAGUAUUUGGUCUACUUUGAUUUAGUAGUUGAAAUAGGGCUUUGUCAGUGAUAACCUUCUCAUGCUCAACAUAGGAAGAAAUAAUGUAUUACUUUAGGAUUACUAAUAAAAAGAACACAUCAGAGAUGGGUGAUGGGAGAAGGAACUGAGCUGAUAGAAUUAGAUUAAAAUAAAAGUAGUCUCAGAAUGAAAAAAUGCUUCAAUAACUCAAUAAAUAUGAGAUACAAUAAUAAAAGAAAUAAAAGAAAAACUCAGACAAAUA